rnacentral:rRNA from 1 species
UACGGGGGGGGGCAAGCGUUGUUCGGAAUUACUGGGCGUAAAGGGCUCGUAGGCGGCCAACUAAGUCGGAUGUGAAAUCCCCGGGCUCAACCCGGGAACUGCGUCCGAUACUGGCAGGCUUGAAUCCGGGAGAGGGAUGCGGAAUUCCAGGUGUAGCGGUGAAAUGCGUAGAUAUCUGGAGGAACACCGGUGGCGAAGGCGGCAUCCUGGACCGGCAUUGACGCUGAGGCGCGAAAGCCAGGGGAGCAAACGGG